rnacentral:rRNA from 1 species
GAUGAACGCUGGCGGCGUGCCUAAUACAUGCCAGUCGAGCGAACGGACGAGAAGCUUGCUUCUCUGAUGUUAGCGGCGGACGGGUGAGUAACACGUGGAUAACCUACCUAUAAGACUGGGAUAACUUCGGGAAACCGGAGCUAAUACCGGAUAAUAUUUUGAACCGCAUGGUUCAAAAGUGAAAGACGGUCUUGCUGUCACUUAUAGAUGGAUCCGCGCUGCAUUAGCUAGUUGGUAAGGUAACGGCUUACCAAGGCAACGAUGCAUAGCCGACCUGAGAGGGUGAUCGGCCACACUGGAACUGAGACACGGUCCAGACUCCUACGGGAGGCAGCAGUAGGGAAUCUUCCGCAAUGGGCGAAAGCCUGACGGAGCAACGCCGCGUGAGUGAUAAAGGUCUUCGGAUCGUAAAACUCUGUUAUUAGGGAAGAACAUAUGUGUAAGUAACUGUGCACAUCUUGACGGUACCUAAUCAGAAAGCCACGGCUAACUACGUG